rnacentral:rRNA from 1 species
AUGGCUUCAACUUACUCCGCCCGUUUCCGUUCCACCCAAACGAUGGGAGAAGAGGAUGGCACUUGUUCCCGCCUCCAUAAUCUUUACCCAUGCAAAUGUGUGUCUUCAUCCCUGCCUCCAAUGAGGUCCGUCAUGGCCUUCCCGCAUUCGGCAAGGUCAGGCAAAUAUGUUGGGUCAGCGGCGGCAUUCCCAUCUCAUAUUUGGGACUACACUACUGCUGCUCCACAAACAAAAUUCUUAGUUGUCGUUCCUCAAAAAAAUAGAAAUAAUUUAGUUGCCCAAAGAGGAGCAGAUGCGAUAUAA